AUUGAACGCUGGCGGCAUGCUUUACACAUGCAAGUCGAACGGUAACAGCACUUCGGUGGCUGACGAGUGGCGAACGGGUGAGUAAUACAUCGGAACGUGCCUAGUAGUGGGGGAUAACUACUCGAAAGAGUAGCUAAUACCGCAUGAGAUCUAAGGAUGAAAGCAGGGGACCUUCGGGCCUUGCGCUACUAGAGCGGCUGAUGGCAGAUUAGGUAGUUGGUGGGAUAAAAGCUUACCAAGCCGACGAUCUGUAGCUGGUCUGAGAGGACGACCAGCCACACUGGGACUGAGACACGGCCCAGACUCCUACGGGAGGCAGCAGUGGGGAAUUUUGGACAAUGGGCGCAAGCCUGAUCCAGCAAUGCCGCGUGCAGGAUGAAGGCCUUCGGGUUGUAAACUGCUUUUGUACGGAACGAAAAGCCCUCUUCUAAUACAGGAGGGUCAUGACGGUACCAUAAGAAUAAGCACCGGCUAACUACGUG
rnacentral:rRNA from 1 species